rnacentral:rRNA from 1 species
UUUCGGUUGAUCCUGCCGGACCUGACUGCUAUCGGAUUGGUACUAAGCCAUGCGAGUCGUUGUAGCAAUACAAGGCGAACUGCUCAGUAACACGUAGUUAACCUAACCUAUGGAUGGGGAUAACCUCGGGAAACUGAGAAUAAUACCCAAUAGAUCACAGUGCCUGGAAUGGCCUGUGAUUGAAAUGAUUUAUCGCUGUAGGAUGGGACUGCGGCCUAUCAGCUUGUUGGUGAGGUAAUGGCCCACCAAGGCUAUAACAGGUACGGGCUCUGAGAGGAGGGGCCCGGAGAUGGGUACUGAGACACGGACCCAGGCCCUAUGGGGCGCAGCAGGCGAGAAACCUUUGCAAUGUGCGAAAGCACGACAAGGUUAAUCCGAGUGUCUCCUGCUAAAGGAGUCUUUUGUCAGUUGUAGAAUCACUGGCGAAUAAGGGGUGGGCAAGUUCUGGUGUCAGCCGCCGCGGUAAAACCAGCACCUCGAGUGGUCAGGAGGUUUAUUGGGCCUANAGCAUCCGUAGCCGGUUGCAUAAGUUUUCGGUUAAAUCUAUGCGCUUAACGUAUAGGCCGCCGAAAAUACUGUGCAGCUAGGGC